rnacentral:rRNA from 1 species
UACGGGGGGGGGCAAGCGUUGUUCGGAAUUACUGGGCGUAAAGGGCUCGUAGGCGGCCAACUAAGUCGGAUGUGAAAUCCCCAGGCUUAACCUGGGAACUGCAUCCGAUACUGGAUGGCUUGAAUUCGGGAGAGGGAUGCAGAAUUCCAGGUGUAGCGGUGAAAUGCGUAGAUAUUGGGAGGAACACCAGUGGCGAAGGCGGCUCACUGGACCGGUACUGACGCUGAUGCGCGAAAGCGUGGGGAGCAAACGGG